GACGAACGCUGGCGGCGUGCUUAACACAUGCAAGUCGAACGCUGAAGCUCAGCUUUUGUUGGGUGGAUGAGUGGCGAACGGGUGAGUAACACGUGAGUAACCUGCCUCCUUCUUUGGGAUAACGCCCGGAAACGGGUGCUAAUACUGGAUAUUCACUGGUCUUCGCAUGGGGGUUGGUGGAAAGGGUUUUUCUGGUGGGGGAUGGGCUCGCGGCCUAUCAGCUUGUUGGUGGGGUGAUGGCCUACCAAGGCUUUGACGGGUAGCCGGCCUGAGAGGGUGACCGGUCACAUUGGGACUGAGAUACGGCCCAGACUCCUACGGGAGGCAGCAGUGGGGAAUAUUGCACAAUGGGCGCAAGACUGAUGCAGCGACGCCGCGUGAGGGAUGGAGGCCGUCGGGUUGUGAACCUCUUUCGCUCAUGGUCAAGCCGCAACAAUGGUUGUGGUGAGGGUAGUGGGUAAAGAAGCGCCGGCUAACUACGUG
rnacentral:rRNA from 1 species